GACGUAGGGGGCCAGCGUUGCUCGGAAUUACUGGGUGUAAAGGGUUCGUAGGCGGUGUGGCAAGUCGGGAGUGAAAUCUCUGGGCUCAACCCAGAGUCUGCUUCCGAAACUGCUGUGCUUGAGUGUGGGAGAGGCGCGUGGAAUUGCAGGUGUAGCGGUGAAAUGCGUAGAUAUCGGGAGGAACACCUGUGGCGAAAGCGGCUCACUGGACAGUAACUGACGCUGAUGCACGAAAGCUAGGGGAGCAAACAGG
rnacentral:rRNA from 1 species